rnacentral:lncRNA from 1 species
GAAGAACUCAGUGGCAAUGUCUCACUCUCAAAGUCAAAAGUAGACGAUUUCCUCCUACUAGGGGAGGAUACACUGAACAGGAUCUCCAUCUCCUCAUCACCAGAUUCUGAUGCUGCAACUGUUACUUUCUCAUCUAUAGAACCCAUAACUGGAAAAAAGGGAAAAACUUUACGAACAGAUGAACAAGUAUUGAUAGGAAAGUCAACCCGGCAGAGGAACCCAGCAAACCCAGUUCAGAAAAGCUCAAGAAACAUCAUAAAGUUGCAAAAUUUCAAGAGAUCAAGCUAGGAAAAAGGGAGGCUGGAACUUGCCAACUCCAAUUGAUUGAUUACCUGAUGCAGACAGGAAGCUAUAGAA